CGCGCGGUCGUUUGGGCUCGGCGGCCGUAGAAGCCGGGCGCACUGGGCCGGAGCUGCCCCGCCGGGGUUGGGUCGUGGCUGCCAGGGCGCGUCGCCAGGAGGCCUCGCGGGCCGCCCUUCCGCUCUCCCGGGGCUGGGCGGCGCUGUCCGGCUCUUCCUGCCGCGCUCUGGCCACUCCCCCACGCCCCUCGCUCGGCUUGGCCUUGGCGGCCGGCCGUGCUCUGCAGGCAGUGCCUCCCUCGGGCGUGGGUCUGCAGGAGAGCCGGACAGGGCAGCGGCCGGCGCUACCGCGCCGCGAUUUGCGCAGAGCUGAAGAAGCCCCUGACCAUUGAAGAGGUGGCCCCCGCCCCGUCGGGCCUCACGAGGUCAGAGUUGAUGUCCAUUUCUGUGGAGUUAACUUUGGUGAUAUUUUGAUCUGCCGUGAUCAAUAUCAGGAAAGGCCCCAUCUUCCCUUCAUACCUGAUCCUGAACAUGUGGACAAGUGACUGAUUUUUGUUGUUGAAAUUUAUUUAAAGGGAUGAAUGGAGUUUUCUGGGACAGUAUUGGAGACAGGCACAGAUGUCAGGACAGUUAAAGAGGGAGAUAGAGUUAUUGGCACAAGAAACUUUAAUUGUAUGGCUGAAGAAUGCGUCACUGACCAGAAGGACCUGUGGCAGAUUCCAGAAAAGGUCUCCCUAUAAGAAGCUGCUGUCCUCCCUAUAACUUAUGGCACUGUGAUUUUUGCUCUUGAGGAUUGGGCCCGUACCCAGCCUGGGUAAUAUAGUUGCUGCUGGAAGUGACGAGAAGUGCAAGCUGGCGAUGCAGAGGGGUGCGCAGUCCAGCGUGAACUACAGUCAGGGCAGCCUGAAGGAUGCAGUGAGGAAGCUGCCUGGCAUGGGAGGGCAGGAUUGUGGUGGUGGGAUUUGCUGGAGGAAACAUUGCUUCUGAACCAGCCAACCUUCUGCUCCUGAAGAAUAUCUCUGCUAUGGGCCUGUACUGUGGUCAAUACAAAGAUAUGAACUUUCACGUCUUCUCCAAGAGCCUAUCUUCAGUGCUUCAGUACUGCCAGCAAGGGUGCAUCCAGCCAUAUGUCAGAAUGGUUUUCAAGCUGGAUGAGGUCAAUGAUGUCUUCCUUCAUGUGAUACAGGGGAAAUCCGUGGGCAAGGUGCUUCUCGCUCUUAAAUAAAUCCUUGCCUGAGCAGCAGAGUUAACAUGUCCAGAUCAAAACUCCACAUCUUUCCCCAAAACCUGAUUUCCCUUCUGUGUUUCCAAAGGUGUUACCACUUUCCUUACUAAUCCAGGUUUAAAAUCUUGGAGUCACCUUUGAAUAUGUUUACUAAUUGCUCCUAAUUAAUAUGAUUAUAUAGUUUAUUGUCCAAACCUUUUUGAGAGUAAAAGGGUGCCAUUAGUAAUUACAUCAGGAAAACAUAUCCCAGGCAAACCAGAAUAUAUGGUCAGCCUACUUGAUGCAUUAUGAAAUGCAGUGAUUGCCGAGUUCUGUCAUUCUCACCUCUAAGAUAUCUCUCAUGUCCAUAUCCUCUUUUCCAUUCUGACUAAUUAAGCCUCAACUGCUAUCACCAGUGACCUUCUAACUGCUUUUCCUACCUUUAAGCUAUUCUCACCCCCUCCAUCCUUGUGAUGCAUUAUUGCCAUGGUGAUCUUCCCGAAGCAUAGCUCUGACUAUGGCCCAUCAUAGCUCUGACUAUGGCCCAUCUCAGAAAACCUACAGUGGCUUACCAUUGCCUGAUGGUGGAGUUCAGAGCCCUUGAGCUAGCAUUUCAUUAUGACCGUGAUUUUUCCCCGCACCACUUUCCAGCCUUGUGGUCCACAAUUCCACUGGGCCUUAAGUAUGUACUGAACUUUCCUGCCUCCCUCAUUUUGCUCUGCUUGUGCAAUUUUUUCCACCCUCCAUCUCUGUCAAACGUAAGCCUUCCUGACCUCUAAGACCUACCUUUGUCAUGUACCUUUACCCUCAGGCAAGGAGCAAUCUCUUCUCUUCCUCUUCUACCUUGCUGUAGCUUCUCCCCAAGGAUUUAUCAAAUUCUGCCUUGAAUCAUAGGGAACAGCAUGUGUAGUGGAAUGAACACAGGCCUCUGAAUCCAAGAUAUGAGUUUAAAUCCCAGCUUUGGAGGUGGUUACUUAAGGUCUCAGUGCCUUCAUUCUUCUUCCUAUAUAAAGUAGAUAUUACAAUAUCUAACUUACAGAGUCAUUGGGAGCUAUACAUGCAGCGAUUGGGUAAAGCACCUGGCACAUGGCAAGCGAUUAGCAAAUGCUGGUUACUUCUACUUCUUUCUCUUCCCUUUUCUCAGUCUAUCAUAAUUUCCUUGAGAGCAGGCACCAUGUCUUACUUACCCUUGUAUUUCCCACAGUGCUUCCCAUAGUGAGUUACCCUUAGUAAAUACUCAGUAAGUUGAAUUGAAUUUAAAUUACCCGUAAGUCUUAAAAUGUGGGAUUAAAUUAAGAAUAUAUUGUCCUGGAAAUACCCAAAUGUCUAUCGAUGGAUGAAUGGAUAAACAAAAUGUGGUAUACACAUAAUGGAAUAUUAUUCAGCCUUAAAAAGGAAUGAAAUUCUGACAUGUGUUACAAUAUGAUGAACCUGGAAGACAUUAUAUGUGAAAUAAGCCAGACAGAAAAGGACAAAUACUAUAUGAUUCCACUUAUAUGAAGUACCUAGAGUAGUGAAAUUCAUAGAAACAGAAAGUACAGGUUGACAUCCAAAAUCUGAAAUGAGAAAUGCUCCAAAAACUGAAACUUUUUCAAUGCCGACACGAUGCUCAAAGAAAAUGCUAAUUGGAGCAUUUCAGAUUUUGGAUUUUUGGAUUUGGGAUGCUGAACUGGCAUAAUGUGAAUAUUCCAAACUCUGAAAAAAUCUGAAGUCUAAAACACUUCUGGUCUCAAGAAUUUUGGAAAAGGAUACUCAAUGUGCAACAUGUAGAAUGGUGGUUGCAAGGUGGGAGGAGAGAAUGGAGAGUUACUGUUUAAUGGUACAAUGUUUCCGUUUGGGCAGAUGGAAAGUUUUGGAGAUGUGUGAUGGUUAUGGUUGCCCAACAAUGGGAAGGUACUUAGUACUGCUUAACUGUGCACACUUAAAAAUGGUAAAAAUGAUAAAUUUUGUGUAUAUCUUAAAACAAUAAAAGAAGUUUUUAAAAAAA